rnacentral:misc_RNA from 1 species
CACAAAAACCUUCCCCUGUGAAUUUGCCAUUCUUGUGGACAAAAAGAAUGUCAACUAUGUCCAGACCAUGAAAGAACUCAACAACAUCAGUUUCCAUGCAAUCGAAAGGAAGACCUCGUAGUCUGACAACAGGAAAUGGUGGUGGCUGACUAACAUAUGCAUAGGGACUUGUAUUAUACAUAAACCCAGAACCCGGAGAAGUCCCAUAAUAAG